UACGUAGGGUGCGAGCGUUUGUCCGGAAUUAUUGGGCGUAAAGAGCUUGUAGGCGGUUUGUCGCGUCUGCCGUGAAAAUCCGAGGCUCAACCUCGGACUUGCGGUGGGUACGGGCAGACUAGAGUGCGGUAGGGGAGACUGGAAUUCCUGGUGUAGCGGUGAAAUGCGCAGAUAUCAGGAGGAACACCGGUGGCGAAGGCGGCAUCCUGGACCGACACUGACGCUGAGGAGCGAAAGCCAGGGGAGCAAACGGG
rnacentral:rRNA from 1 species